rnacentral:lncRNA from 1 species
CGCUCGCGCGCUGGGGAAGGCCCAAGGCGACUCCCGGACUCUCCGCAAGAACCAGCUCUAGCGCGGAGCUGGAGGCCCUGCGUGCCUCCUUGUCCAUCGAGCUGGCCGGUGGCCUGAGCUAGGGGCUUGCUCUCGACAGCUCGGCGGACACCAUGUUGGGGGCUCCUGGACAGGAGGAGGGAGACAAAAUGACAUAUGUGACCAGCUUGUUUUUAGACAGCUGUGGCAGAGAUUUGACUAGAUUCAGGUGGAGCCUCCAGAAAGGAGACUUCCCCAGGUGGGGCUUGUCCCAGAGGCAGGGUGCUCUCAUCACUGGGUCUGAUUGGUGAUAGGGUGACUGCCCUCCUUCCUCUGCAAUAAACAAUUUGUGAUUGUUUUUUGGAUCUGCAAUAAUGUGUAUUCCCAGGAGGCUUUCACGGGGGAUUGGGGCUUCCAUCGAGGAUUCUGGCCAGAAUCAUGCCCAUGAGGAAUUGAAAGCUGCGACCACCCACUCUGCCCUGACUGCCUGGCGCUCCUUCUUUUACCCUCUUCCUUUUCUUCUCUGAAUCUUACCAAAGACCAUUAAAAAAUCAAAUGGGCCAUGAUGUCUUCUGAUGACUGUCCUACCUCCCUGGAAGCCCCUUAAGGCAGGUCUGUGUCCUCUGGAGCACUUGCCUAUUUUAUGACACAG